GACGAACGCUGGCGGCGUGCUUAACACAUGCAAGUCGUACGGUAAGGCCCUUUCGGGGGUACACGAGUGGCGAACGGGUGAGUAACACGUGAGUAACCUGCCCACAACUUUGGGAUAACGCUAGGAAACUGGUGCUAAUACUGGAUAUGUGCCCCUGCUGCAUGGUGGGGGUUGGAAAGCUCCGGCGGUUGUGGAUGGACUCGCGGCCUAUCAGCUUGUUGGUGGGGUAGUGGCCUACCAAGGCGGCGACGGGUAGCCGGCCUGAGAGGGUGACCGGCCACAUUGGGACUGAGAUACGGCCCAGACUCCUACGGGAGGCAGCAGUGGGGAAUAUUGCACAAGGGGCGCAAGCCUGAUGCAGCAACGCCGCGGGCAGGAUGACGGCCUUCGGGUUGUAAACCGCUUUCAGCAGGGACGAAGCUUUUUGUGACGGUACCUGCAGAAGAAGCACCGGCUAACUACGUG
rnacentral:rRNA from 1 species